rnacentral:lncRNA from 1 species
AGAACACAGAGAGAUGAGGCCUAUCUAUUUGCAUUUCGUCUAAUGUGAGCAGAUGCAGAUGGGAAAACAGCGGAGCCUGGGCUGUUCACCUGCGCCACCAGGCCUAACGUCACGGCUCAUGUCAAUGGCACCCUUGUCAGUUCCACUCCAGUGCUGCAGCAGCCAUAGUACUGGUUACAGGAGGGGCACAUGAGCCUCAGUGGUUUUACAGGGCUUGUUGGAAAGACAGGUCUAACCAUGGGACCCAUUUGAGGACAACACAAGCAUUGGGAGGCGUGGAGAGACAGAAGAAGCUCUGGAGGAGGUGGGAGAGGAGACAGCCCCGCCUGUGUGGGCAGAAAGGCUUCGUAAGGGAAGAGGACCACUCUGGCCCCAUGAAGACUGACCCAGGGGCUGGAGAGGCAGAGAUGGAAGACAAUCCAGAGAUUUUACAGAUCCAGCUUGAAGAUGGAUAUCCUUCAGGAGGAAGAGUUUAUAUUCAAGCAUGCAACAACAACAAAGCAGGAGGAACAGAGCAAUUGAUGUAAGCCUGCCUGUCAAGUCUGCAUGUUAAAAAAACAGAAGAACAAGAAAUAAAAAUUUG